CCUACGGGAGGCAGCAGUGGGGAAUCUUGUGCAAUGGACGAAAGUCUGACACAGCCACGCCGCGUGCGGGAAGAAGGCCUUCGGGUUGUAAACCGCUUUCAGCAGGAACGAAAAUGACGGUACCUGCAGAAGAAGAUGCGGCCAACUACGUGCCAGCAGCCGCGGUGAUACGUAGGCAUCAAGCGUUGUCCGGAUUUAUUGGGCGUAAAGAGCUCGUAGGCGGUUCAGCAAGUCGGGUGUGAAAACUCUGGGCUUAACCCAGAGCCUGCACUCGAAACUGCUGUGACUAGAGUUCGGUAGGGGAGCAGGGAAUUCCUAGUGUAGCGGUGAAAUGCGCAGAUAUUAGGAGGAACACCAAUGGCGAAGGCACCGCUCUGGGCCGAUACUGACGCUGAGGAGCGAGAGCGUGGGUAGCAAACAGGAUUAGAUACCCUGGUAGUCCACGCCGUAAACGAUGGGCACUAGGUGUGGGUCUCUAACCAACGAGAUCUGCGCCGUCGCUAACGCAUUAAGUGCCCCGCCUGGGGAGUACGGUCGCAGCUAAACNCAAGGAAUUGACGGCUGNGAGNGCGAGACGACGACGAGGGAGGAGG
rnacentral:rRNA from 1 species